rnacentral:rRNA from 1 species
GUAGGUGGCAAGCGUUGUCCGGAAUUAUUGGGCGUAAAGCGCGCGCAGGUGGUUCUUUAAGUCUGAUGUGAAAGCCCCCGGGCUCAACCGGGGAGGGUCAUUGGAAACUGGGGAGCUUGAGUGCAGGAGAGGAAAGUGGAAUUCCACGUGUAGCGGUGAAAUGCGUAGAUAUGUGGAGGAACACCAGUGGCGAAGGCGACUUUCUGGCCUGUAACUGACACUGAGGCGCGAAAGCGUGGGGAGCAAACAGGAUUAGAUACCCUGGUAGUCCACGCCGUAAACGAUGAGUGCUAAGUGUUGGGGGGUUUCCGCCCCUCAGUGCUGCAGCUAACGCAUUAAGCACUCCGCCUGGGGAGUACGGUCGCAAGACUG